rnacentral:lncRNA from 1 species
CUGAAUUCCGAAUCUGUCUUGAAUUCUAGGUGCUGUUGUGUAGUACUGAACAAAACAGCAACCUUGAAGCCUCUUUUGGUGACACGUUGUCUCUGUAACAGGAGCAAAGUUGAGGUGUUGGUUAUUUCCUAAUUACACCAAGCAAAUUGGGCAGAUUAUAAAUGAAAGCAAAUCUUUACAGUAAAGUCUAUUUUACUCAAGCCCUUUGCAGAGUAAGACUGCUCCCUCUAGUAAGCUCUGUGAGAAUUUCAGGACACCAGCUGAUUAGCUCAUGAAGAGUUUAUCUUUGUGUUACAAAAUAAAAUUCAGGGACUCUGGUGCUAUUUCUUGCUUUAUCCUCUUCUCUGACCCAAACUGCAGGAGAAAAUCUGCUUCCUCAGUAACAAUGCAAAAAUAAUUAUCAGGAACUACUUUGACAAGUCUGUUCCAACUUUCUCAUCUUCAGAUGGUCCUUUCUUCCUGCUGGACUGGAGGUGAACCGAGUACGUGCCUGCAAGGCUUUGGGACUGGCCUGCCUUAGCCCGAAUUUGUAUAAAGAGUUUCUUGGAAUCCAGCUACGGUUGAUGAAUCACAUCAUAUCAGCUUCUAUCAGCAAUUGCAACAUACUUCAGAGGAUAUUCCCCUUGGUCUUCAGAAAAAGGGCCAGUGCUGGGCUUGCCCAUCCACACCCGUGAAUCGCCAGCCUGCUCCAAAGAAGGCAAGAGAAACUGGGAAGCUCAGUGUAAUGUGGAGCAAUCUGGGAAAAAUGGAAACAGCUGAGAGAGGUACCAGGAAACCUGGAGGAGAGUGACAUCCAGUCCCAGCAAUGGCCAAGAAAAUGGUGCUCUCAGCUCAGACGACACAAAGCUCUUCAGCAGGCUGAAAGCAAUGUUCAAGCAACAUGAGCUACCUAGCCAGUGGUAAAAGAGCAUAAAGAGGAUAGGAAGGAUUGCAGAUCUUCUUUGCAUGCAAAAGCACGCUGAUAUUGAUCCUCUGGGAGUAUCUUAGCGCUGUAGAAAGCAAAGAUUUUGGCUGUUGUAGCUUCACUGAUGUUCUGCUGCAGGUAUGUUCAGUAGCAGAAGCUACUGUGUUAUUCAGAAACGUCAUGAUGACUUAUCUGAUUAGAGAACUUAAGGCAGUUUUAAGGUGGAUUGCUUGAAUUGGUUUUGGUGGUUGAUGAAAUGUAAGAUUUGCUCAAAUGAAAAUAUUAAGAGUGGCAAUGUGAAAAUAAAU